rnacentral:rRNA from 1 species
AUUGAACGCUGGCGGCAGGCCUAACACAUGCAAGUCGAACGAGCGGCGGACGGGUGAGUAAUGUAUGGGGAUCUGCCUGACGGAGGGGGCUAACUACUGGAAACGGUAGCUAAUACCGCAUACCAUCAGAUGCGCCCAGACGGGAUUAGCUUGUUGGUGAGGUAACGGCUCACCUAGGCGACGAUCCCUAGCUGGUCUGAGAGGAUGAUCAGCCACACUGGGACUGAGACACGGCCCAGACUCCUACGGGAGGCAGCAGUGGGGAAUAUUGGGCAAUGGGCGAAAGCCUGAUGCAGCCAUGCCGCGUGUAUGAAGAAGGCCUUCGGGUUGUAAAGUACUUUCAGUAGGGAGGCGUUACCUAAAGAAGAAGCACCGGCUAACUCCGUGCCAGCAGCCGCGGUAAUAC